rnacentral:rRNA from 1 species
AGCGAACGCUGGCGGCAGGCCUAACACAUGCAAGUCGAACGAACUCUUCGGAGUUAGUGGCGGACGGGUGAGUAACACGUGGGAACGUGCCUUUUGGUUCGGAAUAACUCAGGGAAACUUGUGCUAAUACCGAAUGUGCCCUUCGGGGGAAAGAUUUAUCGCCAUUAGAGCGGCCCGCGUCUGAUUAGCUAGUUGGUGAGGUAACGGCUCACCAAGGCUACGAUCAGUAGCUGGUCUGAGAGGAUGACCAGCCACACUGGGACUGAGACACGGCCCAGAAUCCUGCGCGAGGCAGCAGUGGGGAAUCUUGCGCAAUGGGCGAAAGCCUGACGCAGCCAGGCCGCGUGAAUGAUGAAGGUCUUAGGAUUGUAAAAUUCUUUCACCGGGGACGAUAAUGACGGUACCCGGAGAAGAAGCCCCGGCUAACUUCGUG